rnacentral:rRNA from 1 species
UGCUUCUUGAUUCAUCAUAAGAAGUAAUUCCUGCCCAGUGACUAAUAUUCAACGGCCGCGGUAUCCUAACCGUGCAAAGGUAGCAUAAUCACUUGCCCGUUAAUUGCGGGCUAGAAUGAAAGGAUCUACGAAAUAAAAACUGUCUCUAUAAGCCCUAUAAAAAUUAUCCUCUAACUGAAGACUGUUAGAUAGCGUCGAAGGACAAGAAGACCCUAUAGAGCUUCAUUUUAAUAGAAGCUUACUAUUCUAAUAAAAUUCGGUUGGGGCGACCCGGGAAACACAUAUCAUCCCGCAAAAUUAGAUAAAUACAUCCUUAUAUUGACCCUUAGUUAAGAUCAAAAGAACAAGCUACCUUAGGGAUAACAGGCUAAUCCCACUAAAGAGUCCUUAUCAAUAGUGGGGUUUGGCACCUCGAUGUUGGCUUAGGGGAUCUAUGUGGCGCAAAAGUCACAUAAAGAUGGUUUGUUCAA